GUGCCUGUGAUGAAAUAUCAAGUUAUUGUUUCUUCUAUUUCUUUUUGGCUUUGGCUUAUGUGUAUCAAAUUUCAUCCAAGCACAAAUAUUAAUCACAAGAAAUUGGAAGAAUGAUUUAGGCGUAACACACUGUAGGUGCCGAGGUAAAGAUAUUUGUUUCCAAAAACUCUUCCUAUUCUUGCUUCCCAUCUCCCAUUGUGGUGGUGCCUGCAUAUAUAUAUUAUCCCAUAAAAGAACAGUUAGAAUUUGCUAUCCAUUUGCGAUAGCUGAGAAGUCAGCUUAUCAAGUCAAGAAGAAACUCACCUUGCAACACCCCUGUACUUGGAUACCCCUCUUGAAAAGCCACUGCUCUUUCUGUAGCAAGAAAAUCCAGAGAAUGUUAGAGAAAGUAGACAUGGAUUACUAUCAGCAGAAAGUGGUAGAAGCAGAAGUUUGAUCAGUUUGUUGCUGUGGCAGCUGCUGACUCUGAUUUUCAUCAACCCCAAGUGCAACUGCAGCUGAAUCUCUGCGCCUUCUUUUGACAUGAGUUGCCUUGGUUUCACCUUCUGCCAUGCACAUGCGGCGCCUUCCAAGCUAUUCUCCAAGGUCAAAAACAAGGGAGACGAUGAUUUCAAAGCAAUGUGAGCCCAAAAUUAUGUCCAUAUUCUGUUUACCAGCGCUAAGGUCUUAAAAACAAUGGUUC